GGUGGCGGGAGCAGAAGGAGGCUCAGCUGGGGAUUCGCUGGAGAGAAGCGGAAGUCGAGCGCCACCGCGGUGUUGGCGAGUGUGAAGAGAGAGGAGGAGCGUUUGCGGCCUCAGCGUCUGUCAACAGAACCCUCUUCACCCGUGGUUAAACCCUCCCUAACCCUGAGCUCGUGCUCCCCUCCCGGUGGACGCAGACCUGACCACAGAAGCCCUGCAGCACUCACUGGGGGCUUGAGGGAGCCCCUGAGUCCCCUCCACCCUCGCCGCCUUCUCCUGGGUACCCAGGAAACGUCUCCAAGGGAGGCUGUGACCCAGGACCCCGCCUCGACCUCACCUUCUUCUGUAAGGCGCAGUGAAAGACGAAGAUGAAGACCCCCUGGAAGGCGUUGAAGGUGGUGAAGAGAUAGGCCAUGACCACCGACUCCUUGUUGAUGAAGAGGAGGCCGAAAGCCCAGCCAUGUACGGCGUGCCUGCUUCCCCUUCACCUUCUGCUGUGAUUGUAAGUUUCCUGAGGCCUCCCCAGAAGCAGAAGCUACUAUGCUUCCUGUACAGCCUGCAGAACUAUGAGCCAAUUAAAUGUCUUUUCUUUAUAAACUACCCAAUCUCAGGUAUUUCUUUAUACCAGUAUAAGAACGAACUAACACACCAAGCCCAGAGGACUUGUGUGGGCACUUUUUGUUUCCUGCCUGCUCUCUCUUUCCCACCAGGGUUCUUCUAUUUUCAGCCCCAGCACAGCAUCAUCCUCAGGGCUAAGAAGGAGGAGUCACCCGCUAAACAGUGCUUUCCUGGCC
rnacentral:lncRNA from 10 species